GCGGCGGCAGCGCCAGGCCUCGCUGCUCUCUAUGGCUUUUCAUUCCUAUGUGAUUCUAUGGUCACUCACAUAGGGAUGGGAGCCGUGGCGGACGGUGGGGGCAGCCGGCGGACGGCACC
rnacentral:pre_miRNA from 15 species